AUGAGGCGAUUGCCAGGGAACCAAUCCAGGAGGACCACGAGAGCUCGGGCUCGGGUAUAAAAGCAGCAUUCACUGAGCAGCCGGGGCCAUUCCACAACACCAAGACAAGAUGAAAGAGCUGUAACACUAAGAAACCUAAAAGAGCUGUAACAAAAAGGAAAUCCUGAGUAAACCACAUGAGAAGGAGCCUCAGUGUUCUAUCGUCAUUGCUGCUGGUCAGCAAAAGCGCGGGACAAGUGGUGGCCCAGGACAGGGAGCUUCGUGUCAAAGUGACCCGUAGGAGAUUCCAGAACUCUCGAUGGACAGGGCGAUCGAUCGGAAAUGUCUGCUAACGUCCACAAACCAGAGUCCCUUCUAUAUCAGAGAAUAAACUUCUAUCUAGUCCUCUGUGGUAGAGGAAGAGGAGGAGGAGCAGGAAGAGGAGGAAGACCAGGAGCAGGAGCAGGAGCAGGAACAGGAGCAAGAGGAAUUGGCUGACCAGCCCCCCAACAAUCCCCAACUCCUCCUUUAACAACUUCACGUUCUCUUAUGUCGUCUUUAUGUGCAUGGAUGUAAGACCAUUUGUGGGAGCAUCAGUGUCCUUAUGGGCCACUUCUCUGAUCAAAAGCUGACUCUCCCUACCCCAGAAGACUUCGAUUGCCAAAGCUCUCAUGGACUGGCCUGACUCCGCUUUAACAUUAAAAGCCAUCUUGUUACAAGGUCACAAUCUGAAGAGGAAUCAGACGCCCUAGAACUGGAGUUACAGAUGGGUGUGAGCCAUCGUGUGCCUGCUGGGAAUCAAACCUGGGUCCUCUGCAAAAGAAGCCAGUGCCCUGAGCCACCAAGUCGGCUCGUCGCUCCAGUCCUGACCUACUGAGUCCCCUGUUUCCUUUCCCUAUGACUGGGAUUACAGGCGUGUGCCAUCAUGCCUGGUUUCAUGAGAACUUUUACGCCUGAAAUUUUCAUUGUUCUAAUAGCCAAAACGACAUGAAAAGCUUUAGGGUCUUUGAUGUUAAUUAUACAAUUAUAUUAAGCUUGUGAACAUUUAUUGAACUGUAUACAAAAGAUACGGAUAGUCUUCUGUGUACACAUUAUAUCUUAAUAAAACUUUAAAAGAGAGACGAGA